rnacentral:rRNA from 1 species
GACGAACGCUGGCGGCGUGCUUAACACAUGCAAGUCGAACGGAAAGGCCCUGCUUGCAGGGUACUCGAGUGGCGAACGGGUGAGUAACACGUGGGUGAUCUGCCCUGCACUUCGGGAUAAGCCUGGGAAACUGGGUCUAAUACCGGAUAGGAGCCAUUUUUAGUGUGAUGGUUGGAAAGUUUUUUCGGUGUAGGAUGAGCUCGCGGCCUAUCAGCUUGUUGGUGGGGUAAUGGCCUACCAAGGCGGCGACGGGUAGCCGGCCUGAGAGGGUGGACGGCCACAUUGGGACUGAGAGACGGCCCAGGCUCCUACGGGAGGCAGCAGUGGGGAAUAUUGCACAAUGGGCGCAAGCCUGAUGCAGCGACGCCGCGGGGGGGAUGACGGCCUUCGGGUUGUAAACUCCUUUCGCUAGGGACGAAGCUUUUUGUGACGGUACCUAGAUAAGAAGCACCGGCUAACUACGUG